UGGGCCAGGGAACCAGAUGGUGCUGGCAGGAGGGUAGUGGCCCUGCCUGGGGGUUCUGCUGUCCUUUUCACGGGGCUUCCCACCCCAUUCCAAAGUGGCAGAUGUCCUCAUAAGAAGAGGAGACGACGGCACAGACGCACACAGAGGGAAGACCAUGUGAGGACACAGGGGGAAGACGGCCAUCUGCCGGCCAAGGAGGGAGACCUCCAGAGAAAUCAGCCCUGCUGACACCUUGAUCUUGGACUUCCUGCCUCCAGAAUUCAGAGUCAGUAACUGUCUGUUGUUUAAGCCACUCACCCUGCGGUGUUUCUCGGGACAGCCCUUGAGGCUGGGAGGACUUUGUAAUGGCCUUACCAACAGAAUGCGGUGGAAGUCACACUGUGUGAAUUCCAGGCCAGAUCAGAGAAAAAGCAAUAGGGCCUGCCACAGACUUUCUGGAUGCCUUCCAUGAGGGGCCCCAGCUAGCCAACAUGAGCAAACCACACGAAAAAGAACCGAAGCCCCAGCCAGCAGCUGGCACUGGCCACCAGACACACAUGUGAGUGAGGCCUCAGGUGAUCCCAGGCCUGAGGCUCCCGGUCUUUCAGUUGGGGUCCCAGACACGUGGGAGUAGAGACCAGCCACUCCCUCUGGCCCUGUCUGAAUUCCCACCCACCAAAUCCGCUAGCAGAGGUAAAAGCUGUUUCACAUCCCUGUAUUAUGGGCUCACUCGUUACGUAGUCAUGGCAACUGGAGCUGGCAGGAACAGGACACCGUGCAAUUCGCAAUUUGCCAAUAAGAAAACUAAGGUGGAGAGAAACUCGGCGACUUUCCAAGGCAGCUAGAAAUGGUGGAGCAACCUGGGCGAGUCAUUCUGCUCUGAUGGGCAGACGUCAGCGUGCACUGCAAGGAAGGGCAAUGAAUGCUGAGCCAGUGAGGCACAGAGAUGGCCUUGGGGACCCCCCCACCCCCAGCAUGUGCACCUAGGCUGUCCACCUGCCAUGAACAUUUCCCCCACCAAACACUGUAUUGGGUCUUGCAUUCCUUUCACAUGUCCUCAUCUCUUUUUGAGUCCUUUCUGGUUUUCUGGUACCCCAGGAUGCUCCAGGCUCAUCUUAUGCUUUCCCUGUGCUGGUCCUGGAAUCAACCGUUUCUGCAAGGAGCCCUGGUUCCACACGGCGGAGAAUGGUAUUUAGAAACCCAGAUCCGGGUGUCGGGUGUGCUCAUAGCUACUGGGGCCCUCUCCAUAGUCAGAGCCGGGGAAUAAACGCGCACCCACCCACACCGAAGCCUACUGCUAUUUACCUACCUGCAUAUGUACUUGAGAGUCAGUGCUCACACCUGACUCCCAGCCAACAUCACGAGAGGCUUUCUGGCCUUGUAUUUGCGGCUCCUGCAGGACAGCUCUCCUUACUUCACAGAGCUGUGUCUGGCAUCCUCUGGCGGAGUGACCGACCCACGGUGCUGGCUCACCCUCAGGGGCAGCCUGGCCCCGGCUCCCCCCACCUGGCUCCACACCUGGCCCACCUGGAUGCCUGGGCCAGUGCCUCCCCUCAGUAGGGGCCUGUCCUGCAAGGUCAGUUUGAGAGUUGAGAGGACCUAGGUUGCCCCAGCUCUUCGGAGCUCCCUUUUUUUUCUUUUAAUUGAGGUCAAACACACAUAACAUCAAAGCCACCAUUUUAACUAUGUUGAAGUGUGCAAUGCAGUGGCUUUUGGUAUAUUUAUAGUGCUGGGCACCCAUGACCACUAUCCAAUUUCAGAAUUUCAGACUCUUCUGAUCCACUGGUAGAGCAUUUGCAUUCACCCAAGGUGACGUCACAUGGGCCUGUGCGCCCGCUCAGCGUGUUGGUCGCAGCUGUCCUCAGUUGGCCGGCCACCCUCCCCAGUGAAUUCCUGCUGGACUCUUUGGGGUUCUCCAGUUUGGGACCCUUAGAUCCUUCCCCGGUCUUUCCUCUUUAUUCUGCCCAUGUGGAUGUCAAUGCCGCAGACCCUAGGGGUGGGUGGCCUAUCACUGCCCACUUGCUUGGAGGUUUGCGGACAUACCUUGUCAGCUGGUUCUGUUGCCCACGUUGUCCAUGGAAUUUGGGGUUUACUAUCUGGUUGUUCUCUUUUGACUGUGUUGCCAGGGAAGGGGGGAUGGAGGAGAGCAGGACCAGCCUCUGAGAACUGCCUGAUGAAUCACCCUCGUGCUUCCCACCGCCCCUGAGCCAUGCAGGUUUGGAUUCCACCUGCAUCUCUCCCGGGAAAUGACUUAAGUCACUAGGAAAAGGUCCGGUUGUUUUCAGAAAGCUCUUUUAAGAAGACAAGGAAAGAAUAAUACAGCUUAUAAAUUUUGUUCCUAAAAUGCUUAAUUUUUUAAAUGUCACUUAAUGCUAUCUGGAACUUUAAUAUACGUGAACUAUUCGGUCUGCAGUGACAUGAACAAGUGUAUAUAUAAGUACAUGUGUGUCUGUAGCAAUGAGAAGUUCAAAUGAAGGGUUGAGCGUUGAUUCUUAAGAAUGUCAUUUAUCAAAUACUAAAUUCUGUUGUGAGUUCUUUCUUCCCCUGACAGUGCUAGCAGGCAGGUCACAUUCCAGAUUUUAAAGGAAUGUUGGUGUUUGAACCAGAGGCAGCAGACGCUUGAUGCUAAGUCACGGGCCGACACAGGGAGAACACAGAGCUCUGGGUAGGGUCACAGGUCAGGAGGUCCUGCUGACAGGACCACGAGAUCUCCUAGAAAAUGCAAGCGGUAAUGUGUCUUGCGUUUAGUGUUUUGUUUUGUAUUGGUACAGUGCCCCUGCUUCUCUUUCCCGGUGAAGCUACAUCUUACCUGCCCCUUGGGCAGUCCUUCCACAAACCAUUCUGGUAAUGAGCUCUGUUUGCUCAGUUCCGUUACACCCGGUUCCCACAAGAGCUUUCUGAGCACAAAUGGAUGGGCUCCGAGAAUCAGGUGGUCAGGUCUCACACCAUCGUCAAAUCCUCAGUGGACCUACAUUCUUCCUGCACUUCUGAAACAUCAUUUGGCAAAGAGCUCUGAAGCUCCAGAAAGACUCGGCAGCUGGUACCACGCUUUGCAAGUGGUAACAGCUCUAAAGUCAAGAGCUGGUCAAGGCAUCCGCCCUAAGCACAACCUAAACCAAGGACACCUGCACCUCAAAAGAGCGCCACCUAGAAAACCAGGAGAGAGAACAACACAGAGAAUGAGGCAAACCCUCUCGAACACAGUGAGGUAUUUUACAGCAUGUGUGUGGUUUUUAUAUUUACUUCUCUAUGAAUUGGGAGUAUUUGUGGAAAAGGAACAUAAAAAGAAACCUAUAUAAGAGGCUGAAGAGAACAGCUCAGAGAGACAGAUAAGUCACUCCCAACUAGGAUGCAGCUGGGAAAAGAGCAGGGCUGGCCUGUUAAAUCUUCGUACGAUUUCAGAAACAUCUGCUGUCUGGACACGUUUUGCCUGUUCAUGGAAAAUCAGAGAUCUGAGCAACCGAAGGAGAUUUUGAAAAAGUAGAAGUACUGUGCCUCACCAGGUCCACAUCUGAGUUUCUGGGAAGGAGGUCUGGGAGACUGGACUCCUGGGGGUUCUCAUGAACCUGGGGUUUUAAAAACACCACAGAGAAGUCCCCUCAGGAAAGCUCAUCACAAGGUAACAGGACACAGCUCUGCCUGUCACCACUUGAAUCUGUAGCAACUGCAUCAGGACAGCCGCUCCAGAUCGAUAUGCGGACCUCAGGGCUGGAAUCCAGAGCGCCAGCCUCUGGGGCAGUAGAACCAUGUACCACGGAUAUUUGAUGGUGGGAUGGUGAAAGCAGGCCCAAGGUAGCCUGGGAGGCACACAUGUGAGUUAGUACUGUGACCUGGCCCUAGAAAACACCAGGCAAUGCUCAGAGGUCCUGCGGCUGACCCUCCAGAAAGUUUGCCUGAAGAGAUAAAAUGCUGGAUUCAGGUCCCUACCCAGGAAUGUCACCCUGUGUUUCCCUUAGGAUCAGCUGUCUGAUUUACAGGGCCCAGAGCAAAAUGAACAUAUAAGGCCUGUUGUUCAAAAAGUAUUAAGAAUUUCUAUUUUAAGUUUUUGGGGAAGCCUCCAUACUGUUUUCCAUAAUGGCUGCACCAAUUUACAUUCCCACCACCAAGAGUGUACGAGGGUUCCCUUUUCUCCACACCCUCGUCAACAUCUGUUAUUUGUGUUCUUUUUGAUGACGGCCAUUCUGACAGGUGUGAGCUGAUAUCCCACCAUGGUUUCGCUUUGCAUCUCCCUGAGGACGAGCGAUGCUGAGCAUCUUGUCCUGCACUUGGGCGCUUCUUCUUUGGAAACAUGUCUGUUCAGGUUUUCUGCCCAUUUUUUAAUUUUAGGUGUUUUUUGAUGUUGAGUUAUAUGAGCUGUGUGUAUAUUUUGGAUAUUAACCACUUACUGGUCAUGAUAUUUGCAAAUAUUUUCUCCC